rnacentral:rRNA from 1 species
GACAGAGGCCCCAAGCGUUAGGCGGAAUCACUGGGCUUAAAGCGUGUGUAGGCGGACGCCUAAGUGUCUUGUGAAAUCCCACGGCUCACCCGUGGAACUGCUGGGCAUACUGGGCGUCUUGGGCCAACUAGGGGCAGCCGGAACAAGCGGUGGAGCGGUGAAAUGCGUAGAUAUCAGGAGGAACACCAAUUGCGAAGGCAGCUCGCUGGGACGUUACUGACGCUGAGACGCGAAAGCGUGGGGAGCAAACAGG